ensembl:snRNA U6 U6 spliceosomal RNA
GUGCUUGCUUUGGCAACACAUUUACAAAAAUUGGAACAACAGAGAGCUUAGCAUGGCCCCUGUGCAAGAAUAUCAUGUGAAUUUGUGAGGUAUUUCCAUGUUAG